rnacentral:rRNA from 1 species
AUGGACGAGUGGUUCUUCUCCGUCGACCGGGACGACGACGACGACCUGCUGAGCCUGAUGGGCCUCCUCUCGCCCCCGCCCGCGGUGGUGCACCAGGGCAGCGCCUUCGCGCCGUACCAGCGGCGUAGUACGGCGACGUCAUUGCUCGUGUCCCCGGGCCGGCGGCAGCGCGCGCGGGGCAGAGCCAACGCCCACCGGAGCAUGCACGAGUACUUGAGGCGCAUGAAUGGCCUUGAGUCGUCUCCCCAGGGGACAUCUUCGGGAGCACGAGCGGCGCCGCCGGCGAAGGAGCCGAUCGAGCCGCAGGUGCCGCGCAGCUCGGCGUUCCGGCACAUCACGCGGGAGCGGCUGCGGCGGGAGCGCCUCAGCCAGGGCUACGCCGACAUCCGCGCCCUCCUGCCACCGGGACGGGCACCAAACGGUGCCAAGAACUUUGUCCUCGCCGCGGCGGUCGACUACAUCAGGGAGCUGGAGGGGAGGAAGGGCCGGCUUGGCGCGCGGCAUGCAGAGCUGGUGAGAUCGUCUGAAUCAGACGGCGCGUCCGGCGGCGGCAUGGUGGUCAAGGUGCGCGGCGAGGGCGGGUGUUCUUCUAUGGUUGGCGCACUUGAGGCGGUGCUCCGGCGGCUCAAGGCCAUGCAGGAGCUGCGGGUGACGGAGAUCCGGUCGUGGUGCUGUGACGGCGCCAUGUGCAUGGACGUCGCGGUCGCGGUGGAGUCCACGGUAUCUUCGUUCGAGGUGGACAUGCGAAUAACAAAUGCCUUGAUGGAGCUUGAGGAAAUCAAAUCCGGCCGCUUGCAGGAUGCAGUGAAGCGUAGCUCCAACUUUAGUUGUCAAGUUGUAAGUGGUGAGCUCAUGAGUUGA